AUUCUGUACAUUCCAAAAAACAUUCCAAAAUAAGAGAGAGAAACAUGUAAUCAAUAUUUUAUGAUUAUUUUUCCAACAGGAGGAAAUUCAAAUAAAAAUUUUCAAAAAAAUAUUUUUAUGAAAAAGAGAAAUACAAAAGAAGACAAUGGAGCAGAGCUCUCGUCGUAAAGAUGCCAAUCGGAAAUAACUCGUCGAUCAUCUGUUUAUAUGCGUGAUGAGGUUUCCCAGGGACGAAUAACAAGGACUUUAAGAGAAACUUCCAAAGUGUUUAUUCUUUUCAACCAACCCCCUUGGAAACCCCUGCCAGGAGGACGUAUGGAAAAGGGUUGGAAAAACCAAAAGGCGUUGAAACGAUUUCCACGUGAUUAUUAUUUCUUCCAGACGAGGACCAAAUAGGGCAAACAUUUAUUACAGUUGUACACAGCAAGUGUGUGUGCUGUAGACCCGACUUUGUGCAAGAGGACACCGGUAUGGAAUACACUACAAGAAAGGCUCAUCUUUCCUGCUGAUGGGGGGUCAAGGAAGACCGCCGAGCUUGGCUUUUUCUUUUUCCCCCUUCAUUUUUUGGACUAUAAAAAUUUUUUCGGGGGUGUAUAGAUGUAAACCAGAAAAAUUCGGUGUGACUGGGAAUGUUUUCACAAACAUCGUCCCAUGAGCAUCGUGUUCACUCCCAGCACCCAACAACCAAAUGAAAUCCAGCGCAGGAUUUUAUUUUUUUUUCAAAUUUUCGACAAAAAUAGACGGUGACUGAAUUUUGUGAUCGUGUUGAAAUCAUCGCUCAAAGAUGUGAUCUCAAUAGAUAAAAGAAAAAAAAGCUUUUGUGCUGGCCAACGGUGACGCACUGUGAUAAGCUAUUUGGUUACUAUUUGAACGACCCCGACACGGCCAGCAACAGCAAACAAGACGUGUGUAGGCGAAAGUGGACAAUGGAUUCCAUUGGGAAGAAAA
rnacentral:lncRNA from 1 species